GAUCAUGGCUCGGGACGAACGCUGGCGGCGUGCUUAACACAUGCAAGUCGAACGAAGAGCGAUGGAAGCUUGCUUCUAUCAAUCUUAGUGGCGAACGGGUGAGUAACGCGUAAUCAACCUGCCCUUCAGAGGGGGGACAACAGUUGGAAACGACUGCUAAUACCGCAUACGAUCUGACCUCGGCAUCGAGGAUAGAUGAAAGGUGGCCUCUAUUUAUAAGCUAUCACUGAAGGAGGGG
rnacentral:rRNA from 1 species